rnacentral:rRNA from 1 species
CUGGGCGUAAAGCGAGCGCAGACGGUUACUUAAGCAGGAUGUGAAAUCCCCGGGCUUAACCUGGGAACUGCGUUCUGAACUGGGUGACUAGAGUGUGUCAGAGGGAGGUAGAAUUCCACGUGUAGCAGUGAAAUGCGUAGAGAUGUGGAGGAAUACCGAUGGCGAAGGCAGCCUCCUGGGAUAACACUGACGUUCAUGCUCGAGAGCGUGGGUAGCAAACAGGAUUAGAUACCCUGGUAGUCCACGCCCUAAACGAUGUCAAUUAGCUGUUGGGCAACUUGAUUGCUUAGUAGCGUAGCUAACGCGUGAAAUUGACCGCCUGGGGAGUACGGUCGCAAGAUUAAAACUCAAAGGAAUUGACGGGGACCCGCACAAGCGGUGGAUGAUGUGGAUUAAUUCGAUGCAACGCGAAGAACCUUACCUGGUCUUGACAUGUACGGAAUCCUCCAGAGACGGAGGAGUGCCUUCGGGAGCCGUAACACAGGUGCUGCAUGGCUGUCGUCAGCUCGUGUCGUGAG